GGGAGAUAAGGCAGGGUGGGCACAGGCCUUUCUCCUCUCCAUGUCCCCAGCCUUUGGGAGACCUGUCACCUUGUGCCCUCCUGGGUAGUGCUGGUCUCCUUUGCCCUGGACUCCUCCCACCUAAAGGGGAACAGGGGCUUUCCCGGCUGGACCAUUAGUAACACAGGGGCCAAGGUCUUGUCCCAGGAGCCUAUUUCCAGGCGUGAGUGUGGGGCCACUCUGAGCAAACUGCAGGUUUCUUGGAACUGAUAGGCCUCAGUCACCCUCCCUCAGAUGUCUGACUUGCUGAGAGAUGGGUAAGUGCUUUAACUCCAGAAUGGGUGGCAUGGCAGGGCUGUGGAGCCCACAGGCCAGUUCUGAGCCGGGCCUGCCACUUUCUAGCAGUGGCUUGGACAAGCGGUUUAACUAACUUUUUAAAGCUUUGGUUCUUAGUAUAAUGGAUGUAAAGAUUCCUAUUCUGUUGGAUUAUCAUGAGAAUUAAGUGAAAUACUCCACUCUGUCCCUAGGCCAGGGUCAGGCAGUGGCUUUCCCAAGGGUCUGUAGCAGAGCCUGGCCUCAGCUGCACAGCUGUAGUUACUGAGUAAAUUCUCUACAAAUGGCAGCAGUUUUUUUCCAUACUUAUGUAUGUGAUCCAUUGACAAUAUCACCUCGAAUUUAUUAAUUAGAGACAAUGGAGGGCAAUUCGGGGUUAUACUUGGAGAUUCCAAGGAGAAAGCCUUGAAAUGCAGAAAGGAUUGGGUGGGUGGGUAGGUGGGGGGGGGUCCCAGAGUCUGGCUCUGGCAGGAAGUUAUGUUUUCCCCUUUCCCUCCUCCUCUCCCAUCCUCCCUCAGGCUGCCUCCGGCGCACUCUCCCUCUCCCGACUCCCCCUCUCUUCUCCACAUCUGGAUUCAACUAGGGAACAACAGGCUUUCUGUGAAUGCCCCCACCUUCUUCAGCCCUCAGUCCACUGCCUCAAAACUUUGAUUCUCAGGGGGUGGAAGGUGGGGCGGAGUGAGGUGGGGGUGGGGUUGGAAAAAUUUUGAACUUUCUCUUCCCAGAUUUAUAGGGUUAAAUCUGCACAACUCCCCCCCCCCUUGCUGGAGAUCCACCAAAGAGCCUGGAGCCCCAGUUCAGAGCUGGGGGUGGGGUGUCUCUGGAGGCAGGGGAGGCUGCAGUUCCUCAGCCCCCACCCCAUCCCAGGGCCAGCUUGCAGCCACCCCUCCCUGCCUGGGAGAAGCCCUGCUGGGCUCUGAGGCCAGGCAGUAAAUUGGAAUGCAGAAGUCACAGUCCAAGGCAGCUGUAACUCUCAUUAAAGUGACAUCAACCCCACUUCGGGAGGAUGCUGUAAAUCCAGGGAAAGGGGGCAUUCAUCCAGGGAGAACCGCAGAAGCAAAGAAAAAAACCAUAAAUAGAGGAGACGUGGUGUCUGGAACUAAUGGUGGGGCCCUCCCUGCCCAAGGCUGUGCUGAACUGGGGGUGGGGAAGGAGCUAAGGCCAGAGGAGGGGGAUGGGGGUUCUGAGCCAGGCCCUAGGGCCUAGUGAAUCCAAAGGGCACAGCCAAAGCCCUGCCUACAGUUGAUUGUCCUCUGCCCUUUCUGCACAUUCUCUUGGGCUGAGGCUGGCACUAGGAAUCAGAGUUGGUUUUUGUCCUUGGGGGAAUGACUAGGGGCUUUCCCAGGGACAAGAGAAGCUGUUGGCUUUGGCCAUUAAGGUUUUGUCAGUUCUCCUGUGAUCAGACAUCUGGGGGUCAGUCUCUGGGUUUAUAACCCAUCACCCGAAUUCAUAUCUUGUCUCUACUACUUGCUUCCAAGCUGUGGGCCUUGGAAGAGUUGCUUCUACUUUAAAAAACCUCAGUUUAAGCCUGGCAUGGUGGACACAUCUGUAAUCCCAGAGACUCAGGAGGCUGAGGUGGGAGGACAACAAGUUUGAGGCCAGCCUCAGCAACUCAGUGAGACCCUGUUUCAAAGUUUUAAAAAAAUAAUUUAAAAAAGGCUGGGUGGGUAGCUCAGUGGUAGAGAGUCCUAAGUUCAAUCCUCAGUAACAAAAAACAAAACAAACAAACAAAAGAAAGAAAGAAAGAAAAAGGAAGCCUCAAUUUUCCUUCAAUAGAGAACCGGAAAGGUCGCCCACCAAAGCUUGAUGUGAAAACCCAAGUAGAAAGCACAGACCAUUUCUGGUGGUGUGCAGGUACUAAUUGUUGAGUGACUAAAUGAUUCCCAGGUCCCCCCACCCCAUCACUGCCCAGAAACAGAUUUAUUUUCAGCUUUCCUNGCCUUAAAAUUGUGAUCUUCUUGCUUCAGCAAGUGCUGUGCCACCGUGCCUGAAUUCCUUUGUGCCUGACUCUGGAGUUUGUCGCCGAGGGACCUUAGGACAGUCACCUAACUUUCCAGGACUGAGUAUGGGUGUUGCUUUUUUCCUCCUAGGAAGUGAAACACUGGUGGGAGGCCGGGUUUGGAGUGGAGAGGGCAGAGUGUGCUGUCUGUAGUGGAAGCACCACCCCUUUGCUUUAGGGUCUAUGGUGUAGCCCAGGUCUCUCCUUCCCUGGGAACCCCAGGCAGGCUGCAUUCUAGAACCUUCUCCUGGGAUCAUUCUAGACUCCCUCCUCCUCACCUACACCAGGAACCUCAGACAUAGGCUGGGAGGCCACCCCACCUUUGCUCUCAGGCCCUGGGUGCUAGUGGCCACCCCAUUCCGAGGAAGGUUGAAGGCAAUCAUGUUCUCCUGAAAGUGUGAAUGAAGGAGAAUGAGCAGGCCAGAGAAUUCCUUCAGCCUUCCUCUUGGCCUUGAGUAUCAGUGUGCUUCAGGGUCCCUUGAGUGCUUGUUAAAUCAUGCAUGGUGGGCCCCGCCGUGGGAGCCCCACAUCAGCAGAAGCCCUGUUUCAGCAAAUCUGAGAGGAGGCCUAAGAAUCUGCAUUUCCAAUGUCAUGCACUUUGAGAACCACUUCUCUAGAGUGGUCUUGUUCGAAUUCAGGCCUUUUUGGGGGGCCGGGCGGGGAUACAGGAAGUUGAACUCAGGAGCAUUCAACUACUGAGCCACAUCCCUAGCCCUACUUUGUAUUUUAUUUAGAGACAGGGUCUCACCGAGUUGCUUAGCGCCUCACUUUUGCUGAGGCUGGCUUUGAACUCAGCCUCCUGAGCCCCUGGAAUUACAGGCAUGUGCCUCCGCGCCUGGCAAAUUCAGGCUUCUUUUGCUCCAUCAUUGUAGACUUGCAGCUGCAGCAAAGAACUGGCUUAGGCAGACUCCACCGUGUGGGUGUGUAGACUUUCAAAUCAAUUGGGACCCUCAGGGGCCAUCAGUCACAGCUGUGCAAAGAGCUGGCAGCUGAAGGGUGUGCUUGGUGAAAUAUGGACUUGCAGGGUGGGCUAAAGACCUGCCUGUUGUGUUCCCAUAGUGACAUAAACAUCGAUGAGAAGGGUGUCACACAGGGGGAAGCAAGGAGGGGAGAAUGGUGACCAUAUGUGACAUGCUGAUGGCCAAAGAGGCAUCAAAGACUUGCGGGGUGGGCAUGACCAUCUGUGUAUUUAACAAACUCCCCCGGCAAUUCUCGUGCAUACCCAUGUUUGGGAGCUGCUGCCAUGGAGGGUACUGGUGUUAGAGAUUGCGUUUUCUUUGAGGGCCUCUCUCAUCCCUCCUUCCUCCCAACCAAAAGGGCUUAGAGAAAAAGAGAUUGGGCGUGGGAAUGCAGAAAUUAAAUUGGGUGAAAUGGUCUAUGAUUCAACUAGGGGACAACAGGCUUUGUUCUCUAGUGCUUGUGACAAGAGUCCAGCACAAUCAAUUGAAAGGAAAAGCAAUAAAACUAGGCUUUGAAACAUCCAGAAAUGAUGCCCAGAAGGCUGGCUUGGGGAGGAGAGCAUGACCUUCCCCACUGUGGAUGGCCGGGGAGACACACACGCAGGUAGAGACAGUCCUGCAAUUCAUGAGGAUGCUUCUGGGGCUUACUCCUUGAGGAGGCUGAGACUUCCUGAGGGGUAGGAGCAGGGGUGAAGUGAGGAGGGGAGGCCACCUGCUUCCCCACCAGGACAUGGCCAACCAAUCAACCAGGACUCAGAGGGAACACUCUUGCCCCUGGGACCCACAGUCUCUUAUCCUGACACCCCAUGCCCUCACCUCUUGUGAAAGCCAGUUCUGAGUCCAACCUUCUCUCCAAGGGCAGCAUCCAGGGCUCCGGCCCUACUGACCACACACCCAUCACUUUUCUCACCAGACCUGGAACAGUGGUUUCCGGGGCCUUCCAGGAAGGUCCCUCAGGAUGAGUCCCUGGUGAGGGAGAUCUAUUUCCUUCACCUUUCAAAAGGACACAGCCUGACAGGAAGGAAUGGACUGAGGAGACACAUAAAAGAAUAAACAGGGCUUAGGACUGCUUUAGACAUUGUGUUGUGUGAGGUUUCCAUGUUGUAAUGAUGCCGUAGGUGUCCAAGCACUUCACAGUUUGCAUUAGGGCAUUUUACCUCCCCCCCCCCCCCCCCCCCCCCCCCCCCCCCGAGGAAGGCAGAGGGGUCAUGAGAUCCUAUUUAAAAAGGAGAAAGCUGUGGGCAGAAGAAAUGAAAAGACUUGUCUAAAUCUACACUUCAAUGCAAGGGUUUGGACCCAAACAGGAAUGUGGGCUUCUUGUUCCCAGCUAAAGGAAGUUGAGUUCACUUCUCAGAAACUGGUAUUAGGUUUGGAGUAGAGGGAGAGAGAACAGAAGUUGCAGUGAGUAUCUGGGUGCCUGGCCAAGAAUGUCCUUUGCGAUGGAGAUACUCAUGGCCCCAACUGCACAGUGAUGACUGAGAAGGCCCACAGCUCCGUCCCCUGGGAAUGGCCCUUAGCUUAAGGGAACUACAUUGCCCAAGGUUAUGUCCCCCUCAAGGUAGGGGACCUUGCAUCCAAUGACAGCUGCUUUGGGGAGUAAAGGUUCAGUCCCCUUGCCUUAGUGCAGGACCUCUGUGCAGGCCCUCCCCAGCUCCAGAGCUCUGCAAAGGGUUGGCCAAGUCUUUGGCCACAACUGCAGUAGCCCAGCUUCUCUCCAACCCAGGCCUGCUCCCUUCAUUCCCCCACAGGGCUUCACCCAAUAAAUGCAUAUGUACCUCUUAAAGUCUGAUUUCUAGGAGACUGAGUUAAGAAGGGAGCUAACAUUAACAAGAUGUGUUUGCUUGUUUAUUUGUUAUUGAGAUGGUCUCUCUUAAUAAAACAAAUCUAUGAAACAAACAUUUUUUGCUGUUUCUUCUUGGGGAAAGUUUAAAGCAAUUGUCAAGAUCACAUAGUAGGGGGCUGGGGUUAUGGCUCAGAGGUAGAGCGCUUGCCUAGCAUGCAUGAGGCACUGGGUUCGAUUCUCAGCACCACAUACAAAUAAAUAAAAUAAAGGUCCAUCAACAACUAAAUCACACACCAUAUUUAAAAAAAUAUUAAAAAAAAAAGAUCACAUAGUAGGCUGGGUACAGUGGUGCAUGCCUAUAAUUCCAGCUACUUAGGAGGCAGAGGCAGAAGGACCACAAGUUCAAGGCCAGCCUGGGUAAAAGAAAGAUCCUGUCUCAAAAUAAAAAGGGAUUAGGGGCUAGCUCAGUAGCAGAGCAGUUGUUUAGCAUGUGAGAGGCCCUGGGUUCAAUCCCCAGUACUGGGGGGCAAAAAAAGAUCACAUAGCGUCGAACAAAGCUGAGACCCGAAUCCAGGACCACUCUGACUUUGAGGGCACAUGCUGUAGUCACUGUCCACUCUAUGGAAUGUGGCAGAGUCCCUGACCCUGACCUGAGGGGUCCACAGUGGAAAAGUCAGCAGGCUAAAGACCUGCCUGUUGUGUUCCCAUAGUGACAUAAACACCCAUGAGAAGGGUGUCACACCUGGCAUGCAAACAGGGGGAAGCAGGGAGGGGAGAAUGGUGACCAUAUGUGACACGCUGAUGGCCAGAGAGGGAGCAGGCAACUCUGGUGGAGGAACACCUCAGGGUGACCACAGGUCUCAGAGCCAGAGCUACAGACACCAUCAGCCCCUGCCAGGAGCAGCCACAGUGGCCAAUUGAACCUCUUUCUAUAGGCCCCAUACAGCAGGGACUGCUGGCUCUGAGUCUCCCUUGAGCACAAAAGGUUGGCAAGACCCAGCCCCAGUCCUGGCCCAGUAAAAAGUAAGGGACCCCUGGACCUUUCUGGCUAUCUGAUGCUCCAUCUGGUCCCCACACAGUUGAGUACUGCCUGGACUCUGGGACUGAUUUGGUAGUAGUCAGGGUGAGUUCAAGGUCAGCAUCUUGCUGCCACAGCCACAAGCCUGUCUGUAGCCUUUCCCUCAGGCCAACCCCAGAGCUCUCUGGAGAUAGGAGUAGAAAGAAGGCUCUUCCUAAAGUUUUGUCUCUGGAGAUCCCAACCUGAUUCUACUUUCACACAUUUAAUUCUAGAUCGGAGUCUAAUGCUGGAGUCCUCCUGAGGAGUGGUGGCCUUGGAACUGCACCUGGGGAAGAGCUGCAAGUCUGGAGACAAACCAAGCAGGUGCCAUCUUGGUUCUCGUGGGUUUGUUUAGCAUUCAUUGGCAGCUCUUAGUCAGCUUUGGCAUCAAUUCAAAAAGUGGCUUUUGGGGGUUCAUCCCAUCACCUGGAGAUUCUGAACACAUGCUUAUAGCUCACACACAGAGAAACAAAUAUAACUCUUUUACUUUCUCUUAUUAAGCUAGCUCUUCCCCUGGGGACAUGAGCUGGGAGAUAUGCAGCCUUCCCUGAGAAGAUGAGACUCCCUCGGGGAGAAGUCAGGUGCCUAGAAGUAACACCUGCUGAGUGUACCCCGCCAAUUGGAAAUCUUCUGUGCCCAGGGCUCAGGUGGCUAGUGAUGUCACUCAGUGGCAAGGUGCUUGCCUAACAUGCACAAGGCCUUGAUUUCCAUCCCCAGAGCCACAAAAAGAAAAAGAAAGACUCUUGUCCCUUAGGAUGUUCAACUAAUGUGUGAAGAAAACUCCUUGCCCCAGUAACCAGGAUGACAGGAGCAAGGGCAGGUCUGUGUGCCAAGGGCUGAUGUCAUGCAGGAAGGGGCAGCAGCAAGACCCAUUUUUAAAAUAUAUAUAUAAUUAAAUAUAUACACAAUUUUUUAUAUAUAUAUAUAUAUAUAUAUAUAUAUAUUUCUAAAUGGACACGAUUUAUUUAUUUAUCUAUGUAUGUAUGUAUGUAUGUAUUUAUGUGGUGCUGAGGAUGGAACCCAGUGCCUCACACAUGCUGGGUGAGAGCUCUACCACUGAGCUCCCAGACCCAUACUUGAGCUGGGCCUCGGUUUCCUCACCUGGUGGGGAAUGUUCUUCCAGUCGUGGGAAUAUGUUUGUGACUGCUGUCUCUUCUCUUCCUUAUAUUUUUUUUUAAUCUUUGUGAGAAAAAUCCUGCUGUUCUGCUUGUUUUCUCUGAGCCGUUUUGUUAGUUGAGGUGUUUGCAUGCUGAGCAACACACACUAAUAUUUUCCUUUGUAGCAAAACAUUAAUUAUCCCAUCCAGUAACCUUUCUCUCGGGUAUUUUGUUCUUACCACCCCCUAAGCUGUUGGACACCAAGCAAUUUCUGUAUUUUCUCAUCAUCUCAGCAAGCCGACUACAAGGGCUGGGGGGGAGAGCAUUCCCACUUGGCUGUGCUCAGGCUCUUCUUCCAGACACUCCCCGACACACACACAGUGGCACCCAGUACUUGCAGAGCACCCUGCGAGGCUGCUGUCCCAGCACUGUUCAUGCUGUGUGGGAACUCUCUGUUUACAUCUCCCAAGAGGCUGUGAAUGCACUCAUGUCUUUAUUCCAACUGUGCUCGGCACACACAGUGGCUCUCUGAGUGUGCCCUAUAAGCAGAUGGGUGAAGGAAACUGAAGGACUGAACAGAGGAUGCGCAGCCCCAGAACCCAGAGCAGCCGCCCAUUGGCCCCUCAGCCUCCAUCUCUUGCCCAUUCACACAAGCAGCAGUGGAAGGUGCGCUUUGCAUCUUGGCUGUCCCUGCCACUUGGUGAGCCUCUGUCCCCACCUGAAGCUAUCCUCAGCUGCAGCCUGUCAGUGCGCUCACCACUGGGAGCCCAGUCUCCUCUUCCCCAGAGUGAGAUGGGACAGAAGGAGGAUUUGGAACCAGGAGUCCCCGGAGGCCCCAGGGAACAAAGGCAGAAUGUGAAAGCAUCUUAGCAAUCCCUGGGCACCAACCCUUGCUCCUCCCACCUCAAAGACCAGGGGAUUCACCAGGCAUGGUGGCACUCGCCUGUAAUCCCAGUGAGAUUACACUCGCCUGUAAUCCCAGCAGGAGGCUGGGGCAGGAGGAUCACAAGUUCAAAGUCAGUCUCAACAACUUAGUGAGGCCCUCAGCAACUUAGUGAGACCCUAUCUCAAAAUUUAAAAUAAUAAUAUUAAUAGUAGUAAUAAUAAUAAUAAUAAUAAUGGCCGGGGUUGUAGAUCAGUGGUAAGCAUCCCUGGGUUCAAUCCUGGUACAAAAAACCCAAAAACAAACAAACAAACUAACAACAAACAAACAAACAACCAUGAGGACGGUCUCAGGGUCUUAGAGAGCUGAGGGGUCAGGUCCACAGUCACCUACAUGGUGAAUGGAGGAGUUGGGACUCAGGCCCUGGGCAGUUGUCAAGAGCAAGAACCUCCUAAUUAAUUCUGAACACAGGGCCUUUCAAAUCCCUUGUGCUGCCACACUAUGUGCCACAGAGAGGAGGGAAAGGCCUGGUGGUCUCCAUGUGUGCAGCACACACCCCUUCCCUUUCCUGGCAUCCUUCUGAAGGAGGCAGAGUGGCCAUGACUUCUUCAUUUUGCAGAUGAGGUCACUGAGGUGCAGAAGGUGGAGCUGAGCUGCUCACAGUAGCAGAGCUGUCCAGUGCAGCCCACGCCCAGCCCUACCAUGCUCUCCAGCUGGAUCCCUCUCCUGCUGUGUCCUUUUCUCCAGGAUCCUGAGACUCCAAUAGAGGUACCAGAUACCCUGCUCCAGAGGUGUCUCUGUGGGUCCAACCAGAGUCCAGGAUCCCUCCUCCUUGCCCAGGGCUGGGGAUCUGCAGAUAGGGCUGUCGCUCCAAUGAGGCUUCAAGCUGUGGGCUCUAGGCCUGGGGGUUGGAGGGCGGGAGAGUCUUCAGAUGGUUCCACUGGGGCAGCUGAGGUGGCCAUGAGCUCAGCUUACCCAGAACAGCCCUGCUAAAAGCCCAUACAAAACCCUGGAGCUCCUGAUUGGCACUGCUAGGCCUCCCUCCCAGGACAGCGGGAUAGGAGAUAAAAGCCCUCCUCCAACUGGAGACAGUUCCAGAUGAAACCUCCCAGAGCAUUCAUCCUGACCAGCUUUGGAAAGUGGGCAGCAGGUGGCUCACAAAACCCUUUUCAUUAGUCUCUGUCUGUCCCAGUCACUUGUGAAAGUCACCUAGUCUUUGGUCCUAAAACCAAGUACGCUUUUCUCUACCAAGAGUUAGGCCUGGUUUCUGGCUUUGUCCACACCCCAAAAGGGUAAAGGAGGCUCCUGGGAAGGGAGGAGUGAUCAAGCCACCUCCCUCUUAUGAAUUGGACCCUCACUCUUUGCAUGUACCUUAAAUGAUCCCCCAAAACUAGACCUUUACAUCAUAACCAGUUUCCAUCUGGGACUGGUUCCCAUUGGCUGACCUGAGGGUGAAGCUAAGGAAAGAAGGUGUAUCUGAACUUUUCCUGUUUAUCUGAUCAUCUGUUGUUAUCUGUCCCCACCCUUAUAAUGUAAACUGUAAUGCUAUAAUAGGUUCAUGUAGGAACUUCAAUGCUAAAAGUCAUAUAUCCUGUUACUAUAUAGUGUUUGCCUAUCAGCUGGGGACAUCUGAGACCAGAUGUCUCAUGGCCAAGGGGAUUUUGCACUGACUGGCUAGGCCUGGGAUACACUGGUCUGUACACAUGACUCCCCUGCUCAUAUACCCUGUGGCUCCCACUGCAGGAUGUUGAGUCCCCUUCCACAGCCUGACCUUCAAGGCCCGCCACCCUCUUACUUCUGCCACACUGACCUCCAGAUCCCCAAGCUUUGGCACAUGGGGUUUUCUCCCUCCUUGCCUCCCAUCCUUCCUUCCUCCCUCCCUCCCCUUAAAGAACCCUAGACACUCUUCUUUUGGGGGAGGGUAACGGGCAUUGAACUCAAAGGCUGUCAACCACUGAGCCACAUCCCCAGCCCUAUUUUGUAUUGAGGAGAGGGUCUCACUGAGUUGCUUAGCACCUCACAGUUGCUGAGACUGGCUUUGAACUUGCGAUCCUCCUGCCUUAGCCUCUCAAGCUGCUGGGAUUACGGGGGUGCGCCACUGUGCCUGGACCCAAGACACUUUUCUAGGAGCUGGAGACACAGGCAUUAAGUGCAGUGGACAAGGCACAGGAAACCUUUGCUUUCACUGUAGGGGUGGAGACAGAUAAAAACAGAUAUGCAAAUAAGAUGAAUUCAGAUGUGCUGCGAAUACAAUAAAACAGGGGGAUGUGCUAGGGGGUUCUGUGGGGUUGGAAUGAGCUCCAAUUCUGCUCCCUACUCCCUGAUCUGCACAGGUACAUGUUGCUUAAGGCCUCCCAGAGGCCACCUCCUCCAGGAAGCCCGCCUACCACAACUCCUGGUCUGGCAGGUUCCCCCCACCCCACACUGGACUCCAGACCACUUUGUUCCCUUUCCUCUGAGGGAAGGUAUAGAGUGUCCUGUUCUGUAGGCAGCAUCCACCCCUGCUGCAGAGCUGAGCGCAGGGCCAGAGCAAGCCUGUACCUCCCUCUCGCCUGGCACAUGCCAAUGCACGGAGCUGCUGCUCGAUGGGGUUUACCAGGGAAACCGUGCAACGGUCUCUCUUCCUUCAAGGGAGAAGAGCUACAAGGGCUGAGCCCCAGGGUCAUUAACUGAAAAGAGAGCUACUUCUAACCCUGGUGAGGAUCAGGCCUGGGGAUGGGGUACAGUUGAAUGGAAGAAUCCAUUUCCCCAGCGGGUGGGGGCAGUGAUGGGUGGGUUAAAGUAAACCCAGGGUCAGGGAUGUGUCCCAUUCUUUUUUUUUUUUUUUUGAUAGUAGAGAUUGAACCAGGGAUGCUUAACCACUGAGCCACAUCUUCAGCCCUUUUUGUUUUUUAAGUUAGGAAAGCUAAGUUGUUUAGAGCCUUGUUAAAUUGCUGAGGCUGGCCUCAAACUUGUGACCCUCCUGCCUCAGCCACCUGAGUUGCUGGGAUUAUAGGUGUGCCUGGCAACCUUCUUUUAAACCUUUAAAUGGUUUGCUUUGAUGAGGGGGCUAAAAACAACACAAUGCCUCUUCCUUGGCUUUGAAAAUUCUGAACUGUGUAGCUCUGUGUGUGUGUGAUGGGGGAGGGUUGUCCUGGGACAUGUACUUUGAUAAGGUGUAGGGGCGGGUGUGGGAUGGCUGUGGGACGGCUGUGGUUUCGAGCAUGUGUGCAGUGGGGGUGUUGGUGUGCUGAGUGUGGUUCUGAACAGUGAGUGUAGGUGUGUGAGAGGCUGAGUGAAUGUGUAUGUGAACGCAGUGGUGAUGUGCAUGGGGGCUGGGGGCUGCUGUGGUGUGCAUGCUGUGUUUGGCUGGGUGAUGGUGUGGCAGUGGCUGGGAUGCCUGUGUGCCUGUGGUGAACCCCCCCGACCCCCAAUGAGGGGCCGAGGUGCAGACGGGGACAGGGAAGGUGGAGCAGCUGUGGCCAGGGCUCUGUGGGGCCAGCAUCCCUGGCAGUUAGGCCCUCCCCCAGCUGUGAAGACCCCACAGCUGGAAGCCAUCGGUGCACCCCCCCUCCCCAUCCCGUGAUGGCUUUUGGGGGUUGCACUUGCCUUUUCAGUUCCCUCAGGUUUGAAGCCCUCUCCUCAAGCCCCAUCCCCACUCUCUUUUCUACUGCCCAGAGCAGACACCAAAAUAUUUCUGCAUUUCCUCUGGAAAAAUCCUGGGAGGUCUGUUUAUGGCAGUAGCUGAGGAGUGCACAUCUGUACACAGUUUAGCUGGGACAGCUGGAAACUCAGGAACUGGAGUUUGCUUGCAUUUGGAGCACAUGGGUGCACACGGUGGCCCCCAUUCCAUCCUUCCCCAUAUUUGCAGGGUCAGGUCCUGUUGCUAUAGACAGAUAACCCCCCACUGUCCCUGUAUGCACACACCCACACAUGCAGACACACUCUGGCACACACUUGAUUUCAGGAGGACUCACAGAGGCACAGACAUGGAAUGGAUGAGGUGGCACAGAGGACUUAGUGCACAUAGGUAUGCUGGCAUAUUUGAAGAGCACACUUGGCACAAGCUUGGCUCCUCCAGCCCUGGAGGCCCCUCGCAGUGCACAGAAGCAGCAUCCUUGAACCUGUCACCCACAAGCUCCAUCUACAGCCCCAGACACGCAGGACAGCACAUGGUGACUCAGCACGCCCACUCGCAACCCUGAGGCAUGGGAGAAGGCGUGACUCAUCUCCAGCCUCCUACAGAAACCCACCUCGAGCCAGUCAGAGCCCCAACACUCAACUUUGGGCAAGGCCUGCCCUCCCCUGGGAGACCUGAGUACUCCGCAGCCUGGGAAGGUCCCUGUUCUUCCCCAUCAUGCCCUUUCCCUGACAGAGGCUGGGCCCUCAGCUGUAUUAUAUGUCCCUCUGUAGGGCAGGGGAGGACAGGGGAAUCGAGGACGCCCAAUUCUGACCUGCCUCUUACCCUCCUUCUGUUCCUGCACCCCAGAUCUUUCCAGAAGCCCAGGAAGUUCUGGGGCCACUCAUCUUACCAGUCUUCCCUCUUCCCUCCACCCCUGUCAGGAACUCAUCCUUCCUCAGUCCCCAACACUGCACCCUCCUUCUGCCCCCUCUUCUGGCUCCUCCUUCUGCCUCCCUCUUUCCUCUGGCUCCAUCUUCUCCCUUAGCCCCAGGCCUCCCAGAUUCCAGCAAAUCUUCAUGGUCAGGAUAGGAAUUUGCUCUUUAGGGCUUGUGGGGGAGGGACAGUCGAAGAUAAGGGAGAGUGGAGGGGGGGGGGUAAAGUGGAAGAAAGCAGAAGGAAUGGCUAUUCAAUGCCAGGUGUCCCACUGUGGGAUUCCCAGGGUUGGGAGACCAAGGGAGCAGGUGUUGGAGUGGGCAGGGACAGGUCUGUGCCACCUAAGCCGGCCUUGCUUUGGAGGGCACCAGUUUUAAGGCUCUGCUGGCCCACAUGGGGAUGAGUUUGUUGUUCUUGGCCUCUCCUAAUCUUUUCAGUCUAGACCAGGAUUCUCCAGACCAGUUCUGGGCCUCCCCUUCAACCGCCUCCAUCCUCCCACAGUCCUGUCUUGGUGGUGGCCUUAGGCCCAAGUAAUCUGCACUCUCUCAGGCCUUGCCAGUCCUCCUGGGGCUCUCCCUCUGGCUGGGAGCCCAGGCUGUCUGCAGACCCUGCCUCCCUGCAGCCCUUCCCACCCCUUUCUUCCAAGUUGGACCAUCAGCUAUUUUCAACUUUCUGUCCUAAACAAUUGUGGAAUUUUAUAACCCAAUUCAUGGGUUAAAACACCCUUGAAACUCCACUGGGAGCCUCAAAGCACUCUCUGUCCUUCAUUUCCUCUUUGUGAGGUUGGGGGCAAGCUUCCCCAAGCUUUGCACCUCAGGUUCCUAAAUGCAAAAUGGAGACACCAAUCUAUUAGACGACUGGAGGCCAGUGUUUGCCCAGUGCCCAGUUCAGGGCCUGAGAGUUAGCAGGGGCCCCUGAUGGAUGUUAAUCCCCUCUCCUUCUUCCACUUUCCCCUUUACUCUUCUAAAUAGUUUAAGCUAGGAAAGGGCAAGCUGACCCCACUGCCCCAGGGACAAAGGAAUGAUGGCCUCAGUUCAAGAGCAAAGUACAGGAGUUUUUGAUUAACUCAGAAACACCAUGGACUUCCAGCAGCCCAGCUGCUCUGGGGUGGGGUGAGGUGGAAAGGGAGGGGAGGUGCUGAGGGAAAAUGCAGGGGAGAGACUGGGAAAUUCAGAACUUAGGACUUGAGGGCAGGGGAAUGCUGAGGCCAAGGCCAUCCCCCUCACCUCUCUAGGGCCCAGGUAAUUCCACAGCCAAGAGGCAGAGCCCGUGCAAGGCCUAGGCUGGCCCUGAGAGCCUGUCCUGCACCCUCUGUGAGAAGGCUGGGUGCUGUCUGGGACUGCAAGGCCAUGGGUGCGCCCCUCUCUUCUUCGUCUCCCUUCCCCCAGCCUGGGGUGCGUCACAAGGGUGUUUUUCUAGACUCAGCUGGAACAAGGUCAUCUGGGCUUUGGAGGGGAAGAGCUGCAAGUGCCCUAGGUCAGUGCUCCCAGGGACUUGGCCAGAAAGCACAGGGUGGGGGUGGGGGUGGGGUGGAACACAGGGAACCCUGGGAGCCCUCAAGAAUCCCAGGGCUGCUCUCAGCCAGAGGGUCUCCCAGGGACCACAAAGCCCAUCUCUGCCUCCAUGCCAGAGAGAUCCCAACCCAUCCCAGGAAGAAAGCCAGAUGUUCUAAAGACCCACCCUUUCACACAGUGGCUGUUGGUUUGGUCUACACAAUCUUCCCCAUUUCUAAUCUGAAUCUUUUUUUUUUUUUUUUGGAUACCUGGGAUUGAACUCAGGGGCACUGGGCCACGGAGCCACAUCCGCAGCCCUAUUUUGAAUUUUAUUUAAACACACUUUCACUGAGUUGCUUACACCUGGUUUUUGCAGAGGCUGGCUUUGAACUCUCAAUCCUCCUGCCUCAGCCUUCCAAGCCGCUGGGAUUCCAGGCGUGUGCCACUGUGCCUGGCUCUAACCUGAAUCUUUUCUGCAAAUCUGAUAGACACCUUUAGGUUCCAGGAAUUAUUCAUGAUAUCCAGGAAGCAGUUUGUUUUUCCUCUUGUGAAUGAGCCAAAUUUGGGGAAGAGUCUAAGCUGCUGGUCUCCAGCCUCGCGGCCCCCAGCCCUCCUCCCCACCCAGCCACAUGGGAAAAUGCCCCGUUAGCCCUUCCAGUCAUGUGAAUGAGGCCACGAUUCAAAGGCAGUGGGCAAGAAGGAGGCCACAUAGAGCAGCCCGAAAGAACCAGCCCUUUGUGCUAGGCUGGGGUCCUUGGGGGAUGAGUGCAUGUUUGGCGUAUUUAGAAAGAUUUCUUUUUUAUAUAAUGAGCAGAGAGGAGGAAAGGGGAGGGCGAGACAGAGAGGCCAAAGGCAGGACUUGGGAAAAGAAGCAAGAGCUGGGGUGAGAGCUGCAAGAGCCACUAGAAGAGCAAAGGGAGGGAUGUAAAGGGGGCCAAAGAGUGCGGGGCAGGGAGAGGGGAAUCAAUUCUUUUUUUGGUACUGGGGAUUGAACCCAGGGGUGCUUAACCAUUGAGCCACAUCCCAGCCCUUUUAAAAAAUUUUUAUUUAGAGACAGGGUCUCACUAAUUUACUUAGGACCUUGCUAAGUUGCUGCAGCUGGUCUCAAACUUGAGAUCCUCCUGCUUCAGCCUCCUGAGCCUCUGGGAUUACAGGAGUGUGCCAUCGUGCCUGGCUGAAAGUGGGCAAUUCUUAAGACCCACAGAGAUAGUGACUGUGUGGAGUUCUUCAGAAAAGCAAGGUUGCUCACUUAUUUGGGGGUGGACGGAUGGAUGAAAUGGAGGUGCCAGGAGAAGGUUUUCCUUCGAUUUUACUUGGGGGAAGAACGAGACUAGCUUUGACUGUGCUGGGACGUGCUCGGUGCUCUAUAAGCAUUAUAUCAUUCAGUCCUCACAACAACCAAAUGAGACAGGGACUAUCUUUAGCCCCACUUCACAGUUGGGGAGCCAGAGCCCUUGAGAGGGUAUGCACUUGCUAAUGCCUAUCAUGAUAGCGGUCAGCUAAGAAGCAGGGUCUGCGUCGAAUCCCGCCUUCUGGUCUUUGCUCACCAUGCUGCUAGGCUAGGUGGGGCAUGGUGCACCUCAGGAGAGAUGAAAGGAGAGCCCCAAAUCAUCCAAUGGUGGGGGCAUGCCAAGAGGAGACUUGGUUCUAGGACAGUAAUAUUUUCUAGUCGUCUCAACAAGCCUGCCUGGGAUCUUUUUUGGGGGUCCUUGAUGAGGUUGGGCACCCCAUCUCCCCUCCACCUGGGAUCCUCUCUGCCACAAUCUGAUCCUCCCACAGAGAAUAGACAGAGGGUCAUUUCCUUCAAUGUCCUGCGUCCUCAGUAACCAGAGUUCUGGGGUGGCCCAGGAGACAUCUUUCCUCCUCAGUUCUUGGCAAAGCAGAUAUAACCAUGGCUCUCAAGAGCCCCUGUUCUCCAUACCCCCUCCCCUCUCUUCUUCCUGUUUUCCAUUCAGCCUCCCCUCUGUUUAUGCAUUUGUUUCUCCAGGACCUGCCUUCACUGGCCUGGAAGAGGGGGACACCUGGCUCUGUGCUGGAAUCCUCAGGUUCAUACAUUCAGAAACAUUUCUAGAGCAGAGACUUAUUUUGGAAUAAGCAAGGAAGUGGGCAAUAACACAGUCUCUGCUCUUACAGGGCCUGACAGCUGGGGCAACGAAGGAGCCAAUCAACGAGUCCACUGCAUGGCGAUAGGGAUGGCUGCAGGGGCCCUGGGAGGCGGGGAGGAGUGGCAAGUUGAGGAGGGCUUCCUGGAGGCAGUGGGGACAGACAAGUCUUGAAGAGAGACCCUCCCUUUAUCAAAUUCUAAUUUACUAUUCCCUUUUCUCUGCUCUUACAACCCAUUUUUGGAAAACAACAGCCAUUCAUCCAUUCGCUAAUGCACUGCAGAAUGUGUGCCAGGCACUGUGCUGGUGUUUGGAAUUCACCAAUGGUGAAGACCGACUUGCUGCCUUCCUGAAGCUGCCAGACCAGUGAGAACCACCAAGCAGGCAAGCAAGGACCCCACAGAGCCCACGUGGAAUCUGUUCUCUCAGAGAAAGGCCUCAAGUCAAGGAGGAGAAGCCACGAUGGCCAUUUUACAGAGGUGGUGGCUUGUCCAAGCCAUAGGGCAAGUACACAGGGAAUCUGAGGCCCCACCUCAGUCGUCAGGCCCUGAGCGCCUGUUCUUGUCUCAUACUUGGGUGGUCCUUGCAGAAAAAUAGGGGCUGAAAGUAAGCUUGCUACCUAAGGGUGACUGGGUGUGGGGUGGGCAAUUAGGCAAGAGAAGAAAUUGAAGACAUUCAAUAGGAAAGGAAGAAGUGAAACUAUCACUGCUGAUAUGAUCACAUGAGUAGGAAGCUAUAAGGAGUCCGUUACAAAACCGUUAGAAUUCAUCGCAGUGUACAAAAACCAACACACACAAAUCAGGAACGUUUCUAUUUGCCAACAAGGAAUUUUGUGAAAAACUAAAUGUAGAGAAAUUAAGAGAACAACUCCAUUUACAAUGGCUACAAAAAAUACUUAGGAAUAAAUUUAACCAAGGAAGAGAAAGACUCGUGUAAUAAAAACAAUGAAAUGUGGAUUAAAGAAGACAGAAGUAAAUGGAAAGAGAUCCCCUGUUCAUGGAUCGGAAUCGGAAUAAUUAAUACAGCUAAAAUCUCCAUAUUUCCCAAUGCGAUCUGCAGUUCAGUGCAACCCCCAUCGAAAUUUCAAUGUCCUUUUUCCUAGAAAUAGAAAAUCAGGUACUUUUCUUUGUAACCUGGGUCUAGUAUUCAGUUUUCUCCUGCUUCUCUCUCUUCUCCCAGUAGGUGGGGCCAUGGGAAGGGCUGGGAAGGGCUGGGAAGGGCUGGGAAGGCCCGGAAGUAGAUGUUCUAAGUCCCUGGGCUAAGCCUGGUGGGGUGCACAGAAUGUUCCUUGGCUUCUGCAUCAUCCCCUCUUCCUCCCACCUCCUCCAGCUCCUCUCCAGCCUUCUCACAUUCUAUCUCCCCCUCUUCAUCUUUUGCCUUUUCUUACUCCAUUAAUUUCUUCUUCCUUUCCCACUCAUCUUGCUUUCUCCUUUCCUUCCUCCCCAUUUUUUCUCCCUAUCUUUUAUCUCCCCCCCUCCUUCCCCCUUCUUUUCUUCUUCGAACUAAUUGCUCAAAGGUGAAGACCAGGUCGACUUGUGAAAACCCUGAUCCAUCGCCAUGGUGAUGCUAAUUCAAGCUGAGUUCAAAGGAAAUUGCUCCAGUUAAAACUAACAAGCUGGAGCCGGCGCCCAGCAAGGACCAGUGCCAAGAGGAGCGAGCCCUGAGCCCCAGUGCCCAGAAAAAUAGGAAAACAACCCCAAGGGCCUCUCACACGCCUACUCCUUACCGUGCCCUCCCUUGCAGCCUUCAGGUCUGUCCCAGCCCAGAGCAAAUCUGCAAGGUCUUUGCAGCAAGCCCCCUGUCUCCAGGCCAGACUUCCCAAGCCACGUCAAGCAGCUGGGCAGCCAGCACCAGCUCUGUUUUAAAGCCAUUGCAUAGUCUCCCUCACGCUGCGGUUCUGGGGUUUAACCACCCUUGCUUUGGAGAGUUCUUUACGGUCCACACCAACACUCUGCAUUGCUUUCUAGUAAGGAUAGACUUGGAAGUACCAGGAGCAAAGGAACAAACCCGAAGAGAUGCUUGCUGUGAGUUCGAUGCUGUCCUAAGACUUCAUGAGUGUUUGCUCAAUUUUGUGGGAAAGAUCCCAAUGGAACAAACUGCUAGGAGCCUGGGGUGACUCCAGCAAGGUCUGGCUGGUUUAAAGAACCACAUGGCAGCCCUCAAACUGGGGAGAGAUGCCUCAAAACUGGAAAGAGGAGGGUCUAAGUACCAGUGACACCCUUCAGGGCUUUGCCCCCUCCAGUCCUUCCUUUCUGGCCCCACAGCCUGCAGCUGUGGUGCCUUCCAUCUCAGCACAUGCCACUUGUAGUCUGGUCACCUGCAUGUGGUUCUUCUCUACUCUGAGGGCAGGGUCCAUGCCUUCUUUUUGCACCGAACAAAAUCUGUUCCAAAGCAGGCCGUGGCUCAAUAUUAAUUUCAUGUCUGAAUGCUGAAGGGGAAGGAAUCCUAGAUCCUUGGGAGGUACAAAAAUUUUAGUUCCCUCAGGUCAUGAGACUCUGAAGGAGCUGGGUUAGGGGAGCUCGGCCCCAUGGUACCAACCGCAGACCAGCUGGAGAAUUUUCUGCUGGAUCUUGUAGUUCUGGUCCGUUGGCCAGGCCACCCUGGACACCCUACUCCUUAGCAGCUCUCACCUCUCUGCCUUUGACCUUCCAGAAGACCUCAUUCCUUUGCUCAACACCCAGUUUUGUGUUUUUUUUUUUUUUUAAAUUUGUAUCUGGGAUGGAACCCAGGGAUACUUUGCCAUGAAGCGACAUCUCUAUUCCUUUUUAUUUUUUAUUCUGAGACAAGUUCUCACUAAGCUGCUGAGGGUCUUGCUAAGUUGCUGAGGCUGGCCUUGAAUUUGCAAUCCUCCUGCCUCAACCUUCUGAGGUGCUGGGCUUACAGGCGUGUGUUCACUGUGCCAGGCUUUUCAAUUCAAUUUUAUUGUUUUAAUCCCAAGAUAUCUAGUGAUCCUCUAGGAACUAAAGAGGUACUGGUCUAGCAGAGGGAGAAAUUCCUUGAAGGCCAAGACCACAUCUAUGCAACCAUCACCUUCUGGUAACCAAAGCACAUAAAAAUGCUGUGAGCUCACUGGAGGGCGCCACAAUUAAAUGAGAGAGUGACCUGAGGCCUGGCUGCCCCAUGGGAAGGAGCCCGAGGGCUUCAGCUCUGCUUUCCUCAGAUGUGCUCCUCCGCUUUGGGAAGGCUCCUCUGCUCUUUGUUCCUCAGCUUCUCCGAGUGUAACAAAGGAUGCUCAUUGCUCAGCCACCUAGCGCUCCCAGACACGUCAGGAGAGUCAGGAAGCUAAGAAUGUGGGACAGCGUCCCUACCUGCACCAAGGCCAGCAGCGCCUCCCUCCCCAACCCAGGAGGUGGUGAAUUGAGGUUCAAGCCCAACCUAUGUCCUACAGACUGUGGGAUUCCCCCCACGUGCACCCCAACGACUGUCCUGAAGGGGAUUACUGUGCCUGGAUUACAGAGGCCAAGUCCUGCCAGGAGGGAGGAGGAAGUGACUCAGCAGGGGCUGGGAAGGCCAGGCCAGCCUCCCACUCUGGGACAGCUUGCAGGGAGCUUUGUGCUCAGCCCUGUUCCUUUCAUCCCAGCAUCUCAAAGCCCCUUUCAAGCUGGAAGCAGCCCUGGGAGCUGGGUCAUUAUCUCAAUUAACAGGAGAAAGCUGAGGCCCAGGCUGGUGGGGGCAACUUUCUUCUGAAUUAAGCCUGGGCAGCCAGAACUUCCCAGCCCCAGGCUUCUGACCCCACUCCGGGUUGGCUGCAGGGGCCUGCUGUGGAGCAAGCAGGAGGGGGCCGAUUUGCCCUUGCCUGUCACUCCAAGCAAGGAUCAAGGUCUUGCAUGAGGACCUGGAGGGGAUAUUGGCAGUGCUGGAAUUUCCUAGAGAACAGUUCAGUGAUGCCAGGUGCCAUGUGGUGGCACACGCCUGUAAACCCAGAGGCCAGGGAGGCUGAGAGAAGAGGAUUGAGAGUUUGAGGCCAACCUCAGGAAUUUAGCAAAGCUCUAACCAACUUAGUGUGACUCUGCCUUAAAAGAACAAAUAAAAAGGAGUGGAGAUGUAGCUCAGUGGUUAAAUACCUCUAGGUUCAAUCCCUAGUACCCAAAUAAAACAAAACAAAACCAUCAAAACAACAAUAAAAAACCAAAACAUUUCAGUGCCCACCAUCCUCACAGUUGUUGCUCAGGAGGAACUUAUAUAGAACGUGUUUUUCCAAGCCGGAGAGAAGGGCUAAGGUGAGUGAACACAUUCUAGGAGUAGACGCAGUUUGGUUUGGGGAGAUCGUCCCCCCCUGGGGGAAGCAUACCUAGGCUGUGGAGACCCUGAGCCGUAUUAGCCAGCAGAUUCUAUUGAGUUUCUCCCAUCUUCACUGUUAGGAGAUUUAUCCAACAAUUCAACCAAUGAUUGCUGGGCUGCUGUGUACCCAGUCUGAGGCAAACAGCACAGUUCUAAAUCCUGCUCAGGUGCUGCCUGGCUGUGCAAACUUGGGUCUUUAACCUCUCUGAACUUCAAUUGCCUCAAAGACUCUUUGGCUCAGUAUCUAGACUGCAGAAGACCCCAACCUACUAACACCCCAACCAUGGGGGACACAGAGUAUAGGGGUUGGCAGGAACCUCCUUCAUGUCCCUCAGGGAACAGGGCAGAUAGAUGACAUGGCGUUCCUCAGGUCACACAACCAGGGAACCUGGGUUGUCAUGAGAAACCUUCAAAGGGAGUGUGUUUGUGCCUUUCUAGGUGGGAUGAGGCGGCUUCGCUGGGUGCUGAGUCAGGGGGAGAGGCUGAGCUCAGCAUGCCGGGAUAAGAAAGGGAGUGUGCAGGUGGGGUGUCGUGGGGAAGCUGGGGCCGAGGAGAACCCAGGAUGUUGCACAAGGAAGAGCGGGAGUGGGGGAAGGGCCACUUUUAUAAGGCAGUGGAAGAGGACAGGUCCAGGCUCCCUGGACGGAGGGCUGCCCGCCCCCGUGAUGAUGCUUCAUACUGCAGGGAUCAAAGCUGUCCUGUGCUCCAUUCCCUGGGAACGGGGAAGAGUGCUGGGGCCACUAACACUCGAGCUUCUCACGGGGGCCUGCUUGAUGUAGCUGCCUCCGUUUCCCUCAUGGCCAGCUCCCGCCCCCGCUUGUUUCUGAAGAGGCCUGUUUUAGCCCAGUUGUCCUCCUGCCGCCUCCAGCUUGGGUGGCUGACUCAGCCCCUGGCUUGAUGUCCAGGGGGCCUGUGGCUGUCCAUCUCAUCAAUGCCAAGCUUCUCUCUCUGGCUUUCACUGGCUUCUGCACAUCAGCCCCCACCUCCAUCUCUCUUUGUCCUGGACAGUGGCUCUGGACUCACCCUAGUUUAUCUGUUCAGUGACCUUGGCAUCUGACUCAAUUUUGUCUUUGGUCUUUGCAUAGUCAGACACAGGGCAUGCUUCGGCCCGGGCCCCUUCCCACCCUGUACUUUAGAAAACUCUCAGUGGCAGAUGAAUCCCUGCAGCCUUCUCUGUUAGCCUCUCUCUCAGCUUCACUUUCUGCAGUGGGCCCUGAUGAGGCCUGGCUCAGGCCAGAAAGCCCAGGCUUGUUUCAGGUCUGCCUGUCUGUGGGUGGCUGCUUGGUCUGGCACAGGACCCUGUGUGGGGAGAUGAGAAAGCCUGGUGGAAGGGAGACAGCUGGAGAGUCCUCUGGCCAAGUCUGGAAGACACAAUAGGGUGGUGACGAAUGGGAAGGAUUCUUCAGAGGGAGGGGACCUGGGCUGGGUAUCCAGAUCAUAAGGAGAAAAGAAUUUGAACUUUCUUCUGGGGUUUGUGCAUUCUAGUGAAUAAUUUCUGCAGUAUGACUUCUUAGAUCAUUAUCUGAGGUUUCCAAGUAUCUUCCCAUUAGGACCCCCUCUGUCUCUCACUCCUCAUAUUCCUCCAUUCCUUCUCUGGCCUCUGGCUCAACUGCCCCUGCCCUUUCAGUACAGGAGACUAAACCCAGAGGUGCUUUAUCAGUGAGUUACAUCUCAAGCCCUUUAAAAUUUUUAAUUUGGAGCCAGUCUUGCUAAGUUGCCCAGACUAACCUUGAACAUGUGAUCCUCCUGCUUCAGCCUCCCAAGUAGCCGGGCUUACAGGCAUGCAUGCAGCUGCACCUGGCCUGGUUUAUGUUGAGCUUUUUGACGUCUUUGAAUGAGUGUUAAUUUCCCCAUUUUGCGUACAAAGGCUUAGAAGGAUCUGGUAAUUUACUUACAGACUCAAAGCCAAUAAUGUUAGCUCUGGGAAAUGAAUCAAGUCCACCUGAAUCCAGAGCCCACGCUCAUCCCUUUACACUCUCAGUACAGAUAUCUGUGUGGCAUAUGCACGUGUGUUCUUGUAUGGGGUUUGUAUUUUCAACUGUGUGUGACUGCCUCAGAAGUGGACUGUUUUUGCUCACGACAUGUUUUUUUUUUUUUUCCCCCUAAGCUUCAUGGAAUCAGAAAUGACAGUGUUAGCCCAGCAUGGUGGUGCAUGCCUGUAAUUCCAGUGGUUUGGGAGGCUGAGGCAGGAGGAUCAAGAGUUCAAAGCCAGCCUCAGCAAAAGUGAGGCACUAAGCAACUCAAUGAGACUCUACAUAAAAUGCAAAAUAGGGCUGGGGAAUGUGGCUCAGGGGCUGAGUGCCCUUGAGUUCAAUCCCUGGUACCCCCCCACCCCCACCCAAAUGCCAAUGUUUGGCUCUGCAGCUUCAGAACCUAGCUUCUGCCCUGCCCAGGGGAAGAGGAAAGUGGUUUCAUCACUGUCACCUGGCAUAGUGGCAGUCAUGGCAACGACGUGGCUUCUAGUUGAAAAUGUAAAAGUGUUUGCAAUGGUAAAGUGGAGAAAGAGGGGGUCAGAGAGCCUGUGCUCUAGGCUCAACCAGCCUUUUACCAAGUACAGGACCCUGGGCAAUCUUUGGACUUCACUCUCCUGAACUGUGCAAUGGUGGGGCGUGGGGGUUGGAUUAGAAGACACAGUGUGAAGAGCAUUCUGGGUAAAAGAGAAGGUAUCAGCCAUUCAUAAAUACCGACUGGAGAUGUUGGAGAAUUGGGACACAUUUUCCCCAGCUGGCUUUCGUUGUCUUUUUCUUUUCCCUUCCCUCCCUUUCUCCUCUUUCUCAUUCUUUUUUCUUUUCUAAUACUGGGGACUGAGUCCAGGGCCUCACAUCCAUUAGCAAGAACUCUACAACUGAAUGUAUUCCCAGCCUUUUAAAUUUUCAAAAAAAAUUUUGAUCUAGGGUCUUGCUCAGUUGUCCAGGUUAGCCUUAAACUUGUGAUCUCCUGCCUUGGCCUCCCCAGUAGCUGGGAUUACAGGCGUGCACACCACGGCAUCCAGCUCUGUUCUUAUGGGACAUCUUGAGGACAGUGCAACCUUCCAUCCCCCUCCCAGAGAGGGCCUAAUUGGAUGGGCCAUCCAAAAUGAGACCUCUCAUAAUGGCAGAAUGGACAACCUGGCAGCCUCCUUCCUCUCAUCAGGGGACAAUAGGAAUUAUUAAAAAUCAAAUUAGUCAUUCCAGAUGCUAAGAACCCUCAAUGAUGAACGUGGUGACGCUGCCCUGUGAGCUAAGCUUGGGAAGGGGUGAUGCUCCUGAGUGAACGAAUGCUGGGAUGCUGUUUUAUAAGGGGCAGAGUCAGAGACAAGCUGGGAGCAGUGGCCUUCCCCUGGUGAGAACCAGGUGCUGAGGGAAAAACCCACCAGUGCUCAUGGUGGAUGGAGACACGCCUGUUCCCCGCCUGAGGAGGACAUUGGCUGCUGCUCUCUGUGGGAGCCUGAGGGCUCCAGAGGGCCACUGCUGCUCUCCUGAGCCAGCAGCUGCUGCCCAGGGGAGGGUGUGCAUGAGCAAGUGGCCAAACUCUGGGUUAGAAAAAGAUGGAAAUAUGGGAGUGAUGUGGUCCAGGUGAUGGGAAAAAAGAGACUGUAGUUUCCUAAAGGACAGGAAAUCAAAGAGCAAGACCAACAGGUCUGCAAGGGAAUGGGACAGAACUCUGUCUCAAGGUCUUCUUUGUUGGAAUUUGUAAGAAAUCAGCCCUUUUGCCGGGCCCUGUGGCACACGCUUUUAUAGGCUAUUCAGCUAUACAGGAGGCUGAGGCAGAAGGAUUGCAAGUAUGAGGCCAGCCUCAGCAAGACCUUGUUUCAAAAUAAAAAAUAAAAAGGACCAGGGAUGUAGCUCAGUGGAACAGUGCCACUGGGUUGAAUCGCCAGUCCUGGAAAAAGGAAAAACAAAAAAUAAAAUAAGAAAUGGAACUUUCUUUGGAGGUUGUGUUGUGUGUUGCUGUUUAGACCUGCCUGAUCCUCCAGUGAGAUGAACCAAUAGGCCUUGCAUAUCUCCAUUUUAGCUCUCCAUAGUUGACCUGGGACCCAUUCUCCAGGAAGAAGUUAUCCAGAAAAAGGCUAGAACUCAUCCCCUAUUUUCUUGCAGGGGAUCUUGCUGAGAUGGGAUAGAGGAACACUAAAUCCUGGUGGUGGGUGACUGGCGAGUCCCCAUGGUUACUGGGAGCAGAAGGAGGAUCCAGGGGGCUAGUAGUGGUAGAGAUGACCAUCCACACACACAUGUGAGAGACUGAAUUCCCUGAAGGCUGUUCAGGUUAGCAAGGAAUGACUUGAGGGAGACCAAAGGAAUAAGAUAUGUUCAGGAUCUGGAUUCACAUAUUCCUCAAUGCCCAUUCUGGCACCGAUGAUUGGACUGGAAACAUAGCCAAGAGGUUAUUUUGUCCAUCUUCCUGCCUCAGGCAGGACUGACUAAAUUUUGAUAUAUGGUUGUCUUCUUGUUUCCCUAUAUCUCCAGGGAUCACCAUAUUAUGUUUUAUUCUACUCACCCACCCAUUCACCUGUGCAUCCAGCCAUCCAUAGUUUAUUGAGGAUGAACAAGGCAAGGUUCCUUUUCCUGAAGACUCUUAGUAUAGGGCGCGGAUGUUGCUCAGUAGGAGGGCACUUGCCAAG
rnacentral:lncRNA from 1 species